AUAAAUAUCCACAAUCUUAAAAAUCCCACAGCCCUGCGCAGAGUGGGAGCCAGACUUUGGGGUCCAGGUCAAGGCCAGAGGGUGAAGGGGACAUGAUUCAGCGCCGUGGGCCUGCGGACGGACGGGGGGAGUGGGGCCCUGCUGGGCCCCCCCCAGGAUGCAGGGCUGUGGGCUAUGAGUCCUGCCUCACCCUGCAGCCUGCACCGCCUCUGCUUCUCCAAGCAGGAGCCGCCGAGUGAUUGAUGGGCCCCAGCUUGAAUGGAAAGUCCAGAUUCCAGCAACACAGCUUAAGAGGAUCAAUGUCCUUACAGAAGAGGCUUGAAGGAGCCCUUCUGCCCCUUCCGCUGCAUGAAGAUAGAAAGAAGGCACCAUCUAUGAAGCAGUGGAAAACCUCGGGAGACACUGAAUCUGCCGACACCUUGAUCUUGGACUUCCCAGGCUCCAAACUGUGAUGGCGAUUUUCAACUCAUUCCCGUUAUAAACAGCCGACCUUCCUACCGAGUUCAAGUACCUUCUGCCUGGCCUGGAAGAACAAUAUCUCUCUGUCUCCCUCUUCCACCGGCCCUCACCUGCCUUCCCUGAACACGCAUUUUGCCUGUUCAGGCAGAGGCAGAGGCGGUUGAGAUGCAUUCUUGCUAUACGGCCCAGCUGGUAAUGCCUAGAUGCCUGAGUCCCUCCCUGGCUCAUCCCUGGGAGCAGCACCGAACCCCAUGUCUGACACCUGUCCGGAAAUAGAGCCUGCACAUUGACCCUAGGAAGAAACAGAAGGCUGCUGUCUCUGUCACUGGCUUGGGAAGGCUUAAAUAUUCUUCUGUCGAAACUUCAUUCUCUCUCUAACCUCAUCUGAGCAUUGGAAUGUGUUCCUGACUAAAGUGGGUACCAGGUGGCCAUCUACAGAGCUUCUCCAGAACAGCCAGUGUAUCCUUCUCUGGGUGGGGUAUUUGGGGGUAGAUAGCAUAUCCUUCUCUGGGUGGGGCAUUUUGGGGUAGAUAGCAUAUCCUUCUCUAGGUGGGGUAUUUUGGGGUAGAUAGCACCUCCAUCAAUAACAUUGCUUCCCCCAAGGGGAGACCUUAACUCUGGGAUGGUAAGAAUUAUCUUAAAGACCUAUCAUUCUGGUGAUUCUAAGAGGGGAAAAUUUGCCUGAUCUGAGGGUCUUGCAUUUUUAAUUUUCUUGGUCAGCUACAGGUAUGUAAAGCACCUAAUAUAUUUGUUGAACAUAACAUGAAUAGGUGCUCAAUAAUUGGUUAUAAUUAUAAAGAUAAUGUAGCCAACUAUAAAGAAAGUGCAUGGACAUGAGUUGAAACCCAGUUUUGACACUUAUUAGGUGGCAACACAGCUUCCUGAUCAUGAGCAAGUUAUUUAAACAUUCUAAUCUUAUUUCCAGCCAUGAAAAUAACAGUAGCCAUUUUGAGUGAGGUUCUCUAUUAGGUCUUGUAGUCCUGUUAUUUCUUAGCAUUAUAGCAACUUUGAAUGCUGAAGUUUAUAGGUAAGGUAACUGAGGCUCAGAAACAUUAGUGAUUUGCCUUAGGAUGUGGUCAUUUAGCUAAUGUCAAAGCUAGAGCUAAAUCCAGGUCUGUCUGAUUCCAACACCUGGUUAUUUUCCACUUCAUAACACUGCUUAUGUGAAAUAGAGAUGACAAAAAUGCUGAAUUGUUGUGAUGAUUAGAGUCAGCACAUGGCACACAUUUGGCAUUCAAAAUAGUAGCUAUCACUAUUAAUUGUGCCUUAGGUGGUACAGGACAAUCCAUAUAUUCAUAUUAACCAGAGUUGGAAGAGCUUUGACAUGUAAUAUCCAUUAGGACCGCUGGUUGGCAUAUAGUGGACACUCAAUAAGUGCUUCUUAAUGUGUUAAAGAUGUUGCAAUGAUCCAUGUUAAAGGUCAAGUAAUGUCUGAAUUUAUAGUUGGAUUCUGUCCUUUUGCACCCCUACCACAUACAGCUCUUUCACCUGUGAAAGUUUUGUGAAAUGCAGUAGGACAAGGAAUUAUGAGAAGAGGUCUUGUUGAAAUAGCUGGCUUUUUUGGCACCAUCUCAAAAUAUAUUGAGAUAAUUCAAUUUCUGUAUGGCUAAGCAGACUCUUAUCAGACCAACCCUCUACAAACAGGCAACAACUUUAAACUCCAGGAAAAAAGUUUAAAAUAUCAGCUACCCAAAGGCACUGGAGAGUGAACAAAGGUGAGCAGAUUCUCCAGGGAUAUUGAUAUUUGGAAGAAAGAAGAGUAUGGGAUAAGUUUUCCCCUUACUGAGGCCUUUAGCUGCAGUCAGCACCACAUAGGGAAGUUGAAAACUUCUAUAGAAAAUCUGCAGUCUUUCUGGCCAGAAGAACCAGAUGAGAGAUUCGGGCAACCACAGCUGCUAAAUAUAAACUUCACUCAAAUCUCUGGUGACCCUGAAUCAACCAUGUAUGGAGUAGAAUCCAAGAAGCUCAGCUAAAGAUAGAAGAAUUGAACUAAGAUUUGGGUUGACACCCAAGAGACAGUUUGCAAUCCGAGUCUAAUGAAGUUAAUUACUCACUAUAGCAACAACAGCAACAACAACAACAACAACAACAACAACUCAACACUCUUCUGUGAAAUAUAACAGAAUUCAGAGUAACUACAACACAACAUUCACAAUGUCCAGAAUAUAAUCCAAAAAUAUUCAACACAGAAAGAUCCAGGAAAAUGUGAGCUAUUUUCAACAGAAAACACUGUCACUGAAGACUGAUCCCUACUUGGUCUGAAUGUUGGAAUACACAGAUAAGAUUUCAAAGUAGUUAUUAUACGUACUCAUUAAUAUCAGAGAAAAUAUGAUUGAAAUAAAUUUUAAAAAAUCUCAGUAGAGACACUAUUAAAAAAAACAAAUAGAGAUGAUAAAUAGAAUAUCUGAAGUGAAGAUUCACUUAAUGGAUUUAAAAGCAGAAUGGAGAUGAAGGAGAAAGAUUCAGUAAACUUGAAGAUAGAGCAAUAAAAAGUAUCCAAUCCUAAGAAUAGAACAACAACAACAAAAAAAUCCCAAACAAAUAACAAAUGAAUAGAACCUCAGAUACCUUGAGACAAAAUAGAAAUAUCUAACAUAUGUUUAACAGAAUUCCAAAACAGGAGAGAGAAUGGAGUAGGAAAAAAAAUUUGAAGAAAUAAUCAGCAAAAGUAUACUGAAAAAUAUGAAAAUAUAAAAUAUAAAAAAAUAUGAAAUAUAUUGACCAAGUAGAAAUUAGUCUUCACUGAUUUCCCAAAGGUGAUGAAAGACAUAAAUUUACACAUUCAAGAAUCUUAGCAAGCCUCAAGCAGGAUAAAUAUGAAGAAAAUCAGUCUUUGGCACAUCAUAGUCAAACUGCUGAAAAUCUAAAAGAUGAAAAAAAAAUCUCAAGAGAAAGGACACAAUAUAUACAGGAGGACAAUGAGUCAGUGGAGGACAGAAAAUAAUAAAGGACCACCUUCGAAAUUAUAAAAGAAGAAAAAGACUCAUUCACCCAGAAUUUAUAUCUAAGUGAAAAUAUUAUUUAAGAAUAAAAGUAAAAAAGAGACAUUUUUAGAUAAAAGAAAACUAGCUGAGUUCAUCAGACCCACACUACAACAAAUGCUAAAGAAAGUUCUUCAGGCUCAAAGGAAGUGAUAUCAGAUGGAAAAGUGGAUCUUCAGGAAGGAUGAAGAGCAUCAAAAUUGCUAAAUACAGCUGGGCAUGGUGGCUCACACCUGUAAUCCCAGCAUUUUGGGAGGCCAAGGUGGGUGGAUCACUUGAGCCCAGGAGUUUGAGACCAGCCUGGGCAACAUGGUGAAACUCCAUCUCUACAAAAAAUACAAAAAAAUUUAGCUGGGUGUGAUGAUGCACACCUGUAGUCCCAGCUACUCUGAGACUGAAGUGGGAGGAUUACUUGAGGCUAGGGAGGUCGAGGCUGCAGUGAGCUGUGAUUGUGCCACUGCA